UCAUUGGAAGAAGAUUAGUUUCACCGUGCUCUCUGUUGUUUUGUUGUGAUGCUGCAUUGAUACAAACGUCGUGUCUAAAUGUUGAAGCAAGCAGGAAUAUCUGGAGGAGUAUCUGAACUGAGAUCUGCUGCUGUGAAGAUGGUGUUUGUUAAAGAGGAGAGAGAGGAGGACACGAGUGAACCAGAAAUCCGGAGAAUAAAACUUGAACCAGAAACCUGGAUAAUAAAACAAGAAGAACUAGAACCAUGGAGAAUAAAACACGAGGAACAAGAAACCUGCAGAAUAAAACACGAAGAACUAGAACCCAGGAGAAUAAAACACGAGGAACCAGAAACCUGGAGAAUAAAACAUGAGGAACAAGGAGGUUGGUAUUCAUUCUUCAUUCAUCUUUAAUGAAUUUAAUGUUUGUGGUACAUUAGGCUUACAAAGCUUUAACCCUCUACGGUCUGAGGGGGUUUUGGGGCCCUGUAGAAGUUUUGACAUGCCCUGAUAUAUAUAUAUAUAUAUAUAUAUAUAUAUAUAUAUAUAUAAGGAUUAGGGAUGCAACAAUACAGUUAGCCCACAGUUCAAUACAUACCUCGGUUUUUUAACCACGGUUUUCGGUUCGGUUCUGAUGGCUUGAGUGUUUUUUUGUUAUUCUAUGCUUAGGCAAUAGGAACAGUAAGAGGUUAAGAAGAAAAAAAAUAAAAAUGAUUUAUUGCAAUACUCCUUUAUUUUACUUAAAAGCAAAGAAAAGUCCACUAGUUCCAAGUGUAUUGUAUAAUAUUAAAUAUUUUUUAUUUGAAAAUUAACACUGAUAUCUUACAGCUGCUGGUAGCCCAUGUACAAACUGGGGAACACAUAAAUUCCUAAAUUUUGAAAAUAAACAUACAUGUGAAGUUAGUAAACAUAAAUUGACCAUUUCAAAUAAACAUACUUGUACUUCAGUAAACAUAAAUAAACCAUCUUAAUUAAACUUAACAGUACUCCAGUUCAGUAUCCUUCAUUCAGAAUGUAAAGUGCAAUUUCACUUAGGUCAGCUAUCUAUUCCUGUAUUUUGAGGUUCUUCUGUAAAAAGAUAAGCCUGUCAACAUUCUCUGCAGCAAGGCGAGAGCGUUUUGCACUUACAAUGUCCCCGGCAGUGGAGAAAAUUCUCUCACUCGCAACAGAGGUUCCUGGGACACAGAGGUGUUGUUGUGCAGCUUUUGCUACAUGGGGAACUUGCAUUCAUUUGUUUUUUCACCAUAUGAAUGGAUCAGCAUCCACAUUAAUACUGUCUGCUAACUUGUAUGUGGUGACUUCCUCCUCAAUGAUCUGGGGAAAUGGCCUACCCUGCUGUUCCUCAGUUUUGAAAAGCUCCCCAAAUACCUCUGACAUUGCUGUCUUCUUCUUGGGAGGGGGAGAGGAUGGAUUGUCUUCCUCUAUGGAGGGCACAGGAUUCUCCACUAGACCCUUUGCAUCAAAGAGAAUGAUCCUUUAGUAUAAUUAUUACACAUAUAAGCACACACAGCUCAGAACCACAACCAUCUCCAGUGUAACAUAUGACAAAUGUGAAAUUAUUUUGAUCAGUGAAAAGGACACAAGAUAUAUAACAAACAUCUAAGUAGAUAAAACAAUCAAAAUCACACACGAUUAAAAAAAACAACAAUCAAAUAGUACCUGCUGUUCAUGCUCCAGAAUUUCACGGAUGAUAUUCCUGAAGGGCUUAUCACGAGAGUCUUCAUCAAGGUAAGGCAGGGAUUUAAACCUGGGGUCAAGGGCUGUGGCCAUUUGGAGGUAAUCAUGAAGAUUAGGGUCAGUGUACCUCUUUGCCAGGUCAUUUGUAAUGGCUGCUUUGGCUUCUUUGACUGUUGCACUGUCCUGGUCUUCUGGUGGCAUGGAUUUGAGAAUCAUCUCUUUCAGAGGAAGGAUCAUUGAUAUAGUGGGGGUUGUUUCACUGCUCAUGAGAGUUGUCACUGUUUUCAGUGGUUUGAGGACCUGAAUCAGUUCUUCUGCCAGUUUCUGUUCACUGUCAUUCAACAUGGUUAUGUUCUUGACAGACAGCUUCAGAUCUUUGUCAAGUAAGGCAGAGUAGAUGGCGGGCUGCUGUUCUGUGUAUCUUUCCAACAUGUCAUGUACUGUAUUCCACCGAGUUGUGACAUCAUGAAUUAACUUGUGUCUGGGCAAGUUUAACAUCUCCUGCUUCACAGUCAAAACAUGGUGGGCUUUGGUGCUUUUGUGAAAAAAAAGUCACUAUUUUUCUAACCCUCCCCAGGAGGCGGGACACUGUGUUGAUUGACACUGCUUUCUUGGCUGCUAGGUUUACAACAUGCGCAAAACAACUUAUCUGUGGCCCCAGCCCAUCAGCUUCAUGGACUGCAUUCACAAUAUUCGGAGCGUUAUCUGUGGUGACUGGGAGUAACAUAUUUGGCCUCCUCAACUUCCACGUAUUCACUGCUUUUGUCAACUCUUCUGCCAAAUGAGCGCUUGUAUGACUUUCAUACAGGGGACGGGUUUGGAGUACAGCGCUUUUCAUUUCCCAAUCCGACAUGUAGUGAACAGUUACAGUGAGGUAACUCAUGGUUGCCCGCGAGGUCCAACCAUCUGUGGUCAGAGCAAGGCUCUGUGCUUUAGCCAAUUUGUACACAAUACUGUUGCAUGUCUUUUCAUAGAGGUCGGGAAUUAUCUUGGUGCUGAAAAAAGUGCGAGACGGUUAUCUGUAACGUGGAUCGAGUGUUUUUAUAAGAUGACAAAAGCCCGCAUCUCCAAUCACCAAAAACGGCUGAAAAACUUUGGCAAUGAAUACCCCCACUGCCUUUGUUAUUUUUAUGUGUCUCUCUGAACCAGUUGGGUAUGUAUGCUGGAAGGAUUCAGCGAGGGACUGUUGUUUUUUGGAGGACUUUAUUACCUGCUCUGAUAUCCUGCCUUCAGACAGUGAUAUAGCUGGGUGAUGGCACCGGAGAUCUGCAGUCAUGUUGGAAGUGUUUCCGUUUGAGUAGGCUACACGUGUAAAACAAUGCUUGCAGACAGUCAUUUUUUUGUUUACUGUUUUUUCUUCCUCGGCAUUAUACUCAACGGCAAAACUGAAAUGUCUCCACACCACGGAUUUGAAAGACGCCGGCGCUUCCUCGUACUGUAGCCUCGCUUCAUCGCCGCUCGCCAUGUUAAAGUGUUGAAUUGAUGGUUCAGCGCCCCCUAACUUUAGAGCAUAGUGAUUGAAUAUUUACUCGCGGGGAGGAGUUUCCUCAUCUCAGCUCGUAGACUUAACAGGCACACACAAACAGUCAAUUCGGAGAGAAAUAAAAUGCACAUAAAUUAUUUAAACAUAAAACCGAAAAAAACGCAAUUCACAAGCGCGUAUUGAACCGUGGAUGUUGUACCGAACGGUUCAAUAUUAUAUUGAGAUAUAUAUAUAUAUUUCUCUCCAGUAUCUUAAAAAUGUAUUAAUGCCUAAAGUCUGAUGACACUGUAAUCAGCACAAACUGGGCUACAGUAAUAUGUGAGCAGCAUGGAUGGCAGCGGUUAAGCCAGCCGCGGUUGAAAUGCGCACAUAUUACCAUGAUUACAGUACUUGCAGGAACACCGAGAGAGAAUGCACUUUCAGAGCUUUUCAUUUAGACGCACAGAAUUGAGAUAUAAUUUAACAAGAUUACAUUUCUUGAUUUCUCUUUUCUACUUAUGCUUUAAUAUGCGUGUUAUUUAUUGGUGUUUUGACGGUUGUUUGUUACUGUUUUUUGGUCAGUAUAUAUAGAUGUCGACUGAUAGUGGAUUUUGCCGAUACUGAUAGCUAGGUUGGACCACACUGGCUUUCCCGAUUAAUUAACCGAUAGUUUUUAAAAUAGAUACUGAACAAAAACCAAAAUAGUGCUUUAUUU